rnacentral:rRNA from 1 species
GACGAACGCUGGCGGCGUGCCUAAUACAUGCAAGUUGAGCGCUGAAGGUUGGUACUUGUACCAACUGGAUGAGCAGCGAACGGGUGAGUAACGCGUGGGGAAUCUGCCUUUGAGCGGGGGACAACAUUUGGAAACGAAUGCUAAUACCGCAUAAAAACUUUAAACACAAGUUUUAAGUUUGAAAGAUGCAAUUGCAUCACUCAAAGAUGAUCCCGCGUUGUAUUAGCUAGUUGGUGAGGUAAAGGCUCACCAAGGCGAUGAUACAUAGCCGACCUGAGAGGGUGAUCGGCCACAUUGGGACUGAGACACGGCCCAAACUCCUACGGGAGGCAGCAGUAGGGAAUCUUAGGCAAUGGACGAAAGUCUGACCGAGCAACGCCGCGUGAGUGAAGAAGGUUUUCGGAUCGUAAAACUCUGUUGGUAGAGAAGAACGUUGGUGAGAGUGGAAAGCUCAUUAAGUGACGGUAACUACCCAGAAAGGGACGGCUAACUACGUG